ensembl:lncRNA
GCCUCACCAGUUUUUCAAGUGCCCUAAACCAGCCAACAGACCGAUCUAAGCUGAUUUAAGUGAGAAAUGGAGAACACUUACUGAAAUGUAAUUUGAACAUUUCCUUUUUCCUAUCUGCAGAUCUUACAGUGGAAAAAUACAUCAUUUAGACUUCUGCUAGGAGAGCCUGACAUCACGGUCUCUUACAGUAAAUGUCAACCAGGAAGUGGCAAGCAGUCUUGGGCAAACAGCUUUGGAAUCUAAUGCUUUGAAUGAACUGAUAUGUAACUGUUUAUAUCUUACUUGCACAUUGUGAAACUUAAAAUGACACAUACAGUACAUAUCUGAAUUGGUGACCUUUUGUUCUUUAGGUAUUUACCAGUGAUUCCAAUAGAGAAGUUGCAUAGACCACAAGUAUGGGAAUGCUGAUUAAACAUUGCUAACUUUUUUUUUUUGUAUGCUGAGUUACCAGUGAUUUGCAUUGUGCUACAAGAAGAAUUGUUAUGAUGCGCAACAUGAUGUCACAACAUUAAGAAAAAAAGGGUGGGCACACUGAUGAGGAAGGCAUGCUACACAUCCUUUGCACACCUUCAUUCAUAUUCUGUUAUCAUGCAGCCUGCAGUCUCUUGUGCAUUGAUACUGAUGUUUUCCCUGCAUCUUUGCUGUAAUGCAUUACAAAAUGGAACAUGCAACAACUUCACAGUGGCAUUUAUAGAGACUGCAGAAAAAGUGUCUUGCUUUAAGAUGAUGGAUGGACAUGGCCCAGUUUGUACAUCUCACAAUUCAACCCAGUCAUGUCAGAUAGACUAUAGAGAUGGCAAGACAUGCAUAAAGUGGCCAGUAGACACCGACAUCUUAUGUGUAAAAGAUUCUGAUGAGAUUCCUAACCAGCUAAAUACUGAUGAAAUCAACUGUGCCCAUGACCAAGAAUCUAUCAGUUGCAAUGGAGAGUACAAAUCUGACUCAGUCUCAGAAUCUGGAGAUUCUGCAUCAACCCUAUCAUUGAGCAUUCUUCUAAUUACAGCUGCUAUUACCGUUGUCCAGUGGGUGUCACUCUGACACUACUAAUAGUUUAUAAUAGUGCUGUAUAUAGUCAGGGGUGCACAGAAGUUUUUCAGCCUGGUUCUUAUAACAGCACUUUGAGAUUUGGUUUGGUCCUCACACUGCCCAUAGUGUGACCCGUUAAAUAUAACUAUUAGAAAAUACUUAAUAAUAGCGAUAAUAAUAUUAUUGCACUUUAUUUGUUUAGUUUUUUCAAUAAAAUAAUAAUCAAAAUAAUAAAGUGUGAUAAUACUAUAGUUUUUUAAAAUACAAAAUGUGUAUUAAAUAAAAAUACAAUUAUUUUAUACUAAACAUCAAAUAAAAUGCUAAUAUUUACUUUUUUAAAUAUGAAUUUUUCAUCAUUUUCCAACUUAAAAUCAACAAGCUUUUAUUCUGGCGCUGCGCUGCCGAUUGAAGCGCGUCAGUGAAUGAAAUGUCACAGUUUUGCAUUGUGCUUUGAAAAUGGCAGCAGAUAGCUUAGAAUAGAUUCAUGAUUUCAGUUCGAAUAGAAAUCUUAUACAUGUACAGUAUUACAGUUUGUCGAUUUAAAAUAGUAGGCUAAUUGUGCAUUAACAUAUGGUCGGUACGCAAAUAAGCAGUAUGAAAUUAUUUACACGGCGCCAUUUUUUAUUUUUAUUUUUGUCACGCAUGCGCACCACUUAUGUGCACCCCUGUAAGUGUAUAGUGCUCUAUACACUACUUUACUAGUUUAUAGAAUAGAUCGGCUACGUUACAAUACUUAAAAAAAAAGAAUGUUGAUGUGUUUGAAUAAACCAUCUAUAAUAAAAAUUGAAAUAUUCAGUAAAAAUAAGAAUUGUCCAUUAUUGUCC